UACGUAAGGUGCGAGCGUUAAUCGGAAUUACUGGGCGUAAAGCGUGCGCAGGCGGUUCUCCAAGUCCGUUGUGAAAGCCCCGGGCUCAACCUGGGAAUGGCAGUGGAAACUAGGGGACUUGAAUCUGGCAGAGGGGGGUGGAAUUCCACGUGUAGCAGUGAAAUGCGUAGAGAUGUGGAGGAACACCGAUGGCGAAGGCAGCCCCCUGGGCUGAGAUUGACGCUCAGGCACGAAAGCGUGGGGAGCAAACAGG
rnacentral:rRNA from 1 species